rnacentral:rRNA from 1 species
CCCCCAGACUCCUACGGGAGGCAGCAGUGGGGAAUAUUGGACAAUGGGGGGAACCCUGAUCCAGCGACGCCGCGUGAGUGAAGAAGUAUUUCGGUAUGUAAAUCUCUAUCAGCAGGGAAGAAAGAAAUGACGGUACCUGACUAAGAAGCCCCGGCUAACUACGUGCCAGCAGCCGCGGUAAUACGUAGGGGGCAAGCGUUAUCCGGAUUUACUGGGUGUAAAGGGAGCGUAGACGGCGAUGCAAGUCUGAAGUGAAAGGCGGGGGCCCAACCCCCGGACUGCUUUGGAAACUGUAUGGCUGGAGUGCAGGAGAGGUAAGUGGAAUUCCUAGUGUAGCGGUGAAAUGCGUAGAUAUUAGGAGGAACACCAGUGGCGAAGGCGGCUUACUGGACGGUAACUGAUGUUGAGGCUCGAAAGCGUGGGGAGCAAACAGGAUUAGAGACCCUCGUAUUC